rnacentral:rRNA from 1 species
CGCGUAGGCGGUUCGUUAAGUUGCUGGUGAAAUCCCGGGGCUCAACUCCGGGGCUGCCGGCAAGACUGGCGGGCUAGAGCACGGUAGAGGCGGAUGGAAUUCCCGGUGUAGCGGUGGAAUGCGUAGAUAUCGGGAAGAAUACCGGUAGCGAAGGCGUUCCGCUGGGCCGUUGCUGACGCUGAGGCGCGACAGCGUGGGGAGCAAACA